rfam:Schistosoma rodhaini strain Burundi genome assembly, scaffold: SROB_scaffold0010660
GCACUGCUGAGGAGUCCCAUAAUAGGACGAAACGGCCGUCCCGUGU